rnacentral:rRNA from 1 species
AGUGAACGCUGGCGGCGUGCCUAACACAUGCAAGUCGAGCGAAUUCUGGCAGCGUACCGUCAGGAUGAGCGGCAAACGGGUGAGUAACACGUAGGUAAUCUGCCUUCAGAAGGGGGAUAACACCGCGAAAGCGGUGCUAAUACCGCGUAAGACCACGGUCCCGCAUGGGGCUGAGGUUAAAGUCACGGCGCAAGCCGGGACGUCUGAAGAGGAGCCUGCGGCCUAUCAGCUAGUUGGUGGGGUAACGGCCCACCAAGGCGAAGACGGGUAACCGGCC